rnacentral:lncRNA from 1 species
ACCGAGCGAGCAGCAGCGUUCCAGAUCUGGCCGCACUCGCCGUCGCGAGUCAACAAAACCAACUUCAACGACAAUACCAACAGCAGCAACAACAACAACAUCAUCAGCAGCAGCAAGACAGUGCGGCUGGGCGGGUCAGCGGCGGCAUAGGCGGCGUUGGCAGCAGAACGUCGUACACCAGCAAUGGCUUCUUACGCGGCGGCGGCGCGUCCUCAACGGCUCUGCCUGCGGUGGGCAGUCGUCAGCAGCAGCA